rnacentral:lncRNA from 1 species
UCCUGAGAGAAGAAAUAGCCCAUAAAAUGGCCAUUUUAAGCCACUGAUUGUACGGUCGAGGCCGACCAGAGGAAGAUUGAUGGUGGCCUUCUGCAUUUUCAGGUAGAUAGUUUGCUUCUUCUUCUUCAAAUUUCUGAUGAUCUGCUGAGAUUAAACAUCAGUUGACUAUUAACGAAGAAAAUAAUAACAUUAAGCACCAAACCAAUAAUCUUUGUUCUUAAAAAAUUUGGUGAAAAAAUAGAUUAAAAAAAAAAAGAAAAAACAUCGCCGACCAUUUGAAAAAUCUGGAGGAAUUAAAAAGCUUUUUUUUUUUGGUAGAAUUCUCUAGAUACAACUCCACCGCCUAUUUUGUCUGUGUGUGUGUAUGCAAAGAAGGUGAGAGAGACAGGGUUUAAUGAGAGAAGAGAAAGUGAGAUCAAGAGGAAGAGUGCAUAGAGAGAGAGAAGUGAAAUUGUUAGUAGCCCUUUUUUAAUCUCAUUACAUUAAUUUCAUUAAAUGUCAUUUUUUUCUUGCCUAUUUUUAAUCGCACAUUUAUAAAAUAAUAUUAUACGUAAAUCGAAAUAAAUUUUUUAACCACUCAUUUAAAAAGAAAAAAAAGAAAAAAAAUCUAUCCACCCAUUUUCAGUUCCAAAAAAUGGGGCCAAACGAGGCCUAGAACCUAUUUAAUCGUCCAUUAAGUAGAAAUAUUAUAUUGUUAGUCAAUUAAGUUGUGUGUUUAAAAAUUGUAUGUGUCACAAUACACACAAGAGGUAAUUUUCAUUCAUACAUUCAAUAGGUGGGUUACAGAGUUUAUAUAGGAAAAAAAACUCCUAAUUUUGGAUAAUCACAACUCUGUAGCUAAUUAAUUGAUUCUACACAUAAUUGCCUAAUUCUAUUCCCUUAAAAUGAUACAAUUAUAUAUGAUUUAUGUUUCCAGAAAAAGAUUUCUAACAACUCACGCCAACACUUCUCCUCAAGUUGAUGCAUACAGGUCUCUGAUGCCCAAUUUGUCAAGUGAGUUGUGAAAGUCCUUGCUUGAAACUGCCUUUGUGAGUAUGUCUGCUAGUUGAUCCUCGGACUUUACAAAAGGGAAACGAAUUGUCUUUGCUACCAAGUUUUCCUUGAUGAAGUGUCGAUCUAAUUCCACAUGUUUUGUUCUAUCAUGUUGAACCGGGUCAUGAGAUAUGGCAAUGGCAGCUUUGUUGUCACAGUAUAGAUCCAUCUCAGUAAUAGGAGCAAAGCCAAGUUCAGUGAGCAGUUUUCUGAUCCAGAGGAGUUCACAAAGUCCUUUUGCCAUUCCACGAAACUCCGCUUCAGCAUAAUGAUACCACUUUUUGCUUCUUACUUCUCCAUGUAACGAGAUUACCGCCUACAAACAUGAAGUAGCCUGAGGUAGACCUCCUAUCUGAAAUGUUCCCCGCCCAAUCUGCAUCUGUAUAGCCAUCAACUUUCAAGUGAUCAUUCUUUGAAAACAUCAGUCCCCUCCCUGGUGAGGACUUUAUAUAUCGAAGUAUUCGAGUCACAGCAUCCAUGUGGUCUUUGCUAGGGCUAUGCAUAAACUGGCUAACUACACUUACGGCAUAGGCAAUAUCUGGACGAGUAUGAGACAAGUAUAUAAGUUUGCCAACUAAUUUUUGAUAUCUCCCUUUAUCCGUUGGCACUUGAUCUGAACACUCACUCAGCUUAAGGUUUUGAGUGAUAGGAGUAUCUGCUGGUUUACAUUCCAACAUCCCCACCUCAGCCAGCAAGUCUAGCACAUAUUUUCUUUGGGAUAGGAAUAUGCCUUGUCUUGAUCUAACCACUUCAAUUCCCAGGAAAUACUUGAGGCCUCCCAAGUUCUUUAUCUCGAACUCAGACGCCAGCUGUUUCUGAAUUCUGGAUAUCUCUUCUUUAUCAUCCCCUGUGAUAAUCAUGUCAUCCACAUACACUAUCANUGUGGUUCCACUCCAGUGUAGUAACUUACAUUCACGGGAGAAGAGAGAAGUUUGUAUAUUAUAUACUUAUGUUUGGAGCUUAUAAUGAAACAUAGAUAGUCACAUUAUAUCAAGGUUGCCUAAUGAAGGAUGAGGCAAGCAGGGAAGGAAAAUAAUGAAUUAUGGAAAUCUUCCAAAUCAUGGUGCACCAUAAUAUUCUCCAAUAUUAGCAAAUCCUUCAAAUACCAUCAAAUAUCUCUCUUCUCCAAUGCCCCCUCAAGUUGGUGCGAAAAUAUGAAUAGAGCCCAACUUGGACAAUAUUUCAUAAAAUCUAGCAGUGGACAAGCUUUUGGUGAAAAUGUCAGCUAAUUGUUCACUACUAAGAACGGGGGAGUGCAAAUAACCUUGGCUUGGACUUGUUCUCGUAUAAAAUGAUAAUCAACUUCAAUGUGUUUGAUCCGUUCAUGAAAAAUUGGAUUUGAAGCAAUAUGAAUAACAAAUUGAUUAUCACAAUACAUUUGUGUAGGUUGUUGUGAUGAGCCAAACCCCAAAUCUCUCAGCAAUACGACAACAUUAGGCUUUUUACUCCUCAAUAUUACCAAAUUUCCUCCAAUAAAAGUGCAAUAUCUUAUCGUAGAUCGUUUGUCAAUCGUACUGCCAGCCCAAUCCGAGCCUAUGUAUGAUGUUACAAGAGAAUGACCAUUCUUACGCAUCCAUAGACAUCUUCCAGGUGACCCUUUGAGAUAGUGCAAAAUUCAGUUAACAGCAUCCGUAUGUGCAACUCGUGGAGAGUUAAUAAAAUGACUUACCAGGCUUAUAGCAUAUGAGAUAUCAGGUCGAGUAAUUGUGAGGUUAAUCAAUCUGUCCACCAAUCUUUGAAAUUGACUCGCGUCAUAUAAUAGGUCGCCAUCAAGUGGUAAUUUUAAAUUACAAUCUAUAGGCGUUUAAGUUGGUUUGACACCUAAUUUACCAGUAUCUUGUAAUAAAUUCAAUUUUUAUUGAGAAAUAUGCCAUCUCUAGUCCAAUAAAGUAUUUCAAAAUUUUCAAGUCUUUAAUAGAAAACUAAGUAUGAAGAAUAUUUUCGAGCCUUGAUUCAUCAACAUAGAUCAAAACAAUAACAAUACCACUCAUGCCUCUUUUCACAAACAAUGAAGAAUCGUUAUUACUCAUUUUUAAACCAUUCUUGACAAGAACAGGACUAAGUUUGGCGUACCAUGCACGAGGUGAAUGUUUAAGACUAUAUAUGGAUUUUUCUUAAUCUGCGUGCAAUGUAAAGUCCCAAAAAUUCUAGAAUAAAAUUUAAUUGUUCUAUUCUCUAUAUUUCUAUAUUUUGAAAAGUUAAAUGACUAAAGUGAAAUACUUUUAAAUCCUUAUAUUUUUAGGGUCAAAUAAUUAGAUUUUGAUAAAAAGAGAUUUAACAUAUCGAUAUUUGACUCUUUUUGAAGCUUGCAAUUAAUUAGAAUCCUUUAAUUCGAGGAAAUGUUAAUUUGGAUAAGUUAUGUCAAAGAUAUUGAAGUCCAAAGAAGUUACAUAUAACUAGUAAUUCUAAUCCUAUUUUUUAUUGGGAUAAAUGUUGACUUAAUCGAUUGGCAAGCUAUUUACAUGAGAUUGGCGGGAAAUCAUUAUUUGAACUCAAUUUUUAUUUUAUAAAGUACAACCUAUUCUUACCUAAAAUCUACUUUGAUAACAAUUUUAAUUCAAUUUCUAGUCAUUUAUAGUUCCCUACUUUACACACAAUCCUAUAUAGGCUAAGUCAUGAUUACCUAUAUACAUAGGACAUGAUUGUAGAACUUUUGCACACAAUUUUUUUUUUUUUUUAACGAGGUGUCCCAACUUGCGCUAGACUAUAUCCUCGUCCCUGAACCUCCGGCCCCUCAGCAGCUCAGGGAGGUAAAUCGCUGGAUGUGCCCUUGUUGGUUCCCAAGUUCCCACACGGCUUUUACUCCUUCCCCAAAGGGAGCAUUCCUCCAUAGUGAUUAAUCCACCAAUAAUUCCUCCUUUAUUGGAUCAAAGGUUCCCACCAGGAAUCGAACUCCCCACGCUUGGUUCCAGAGCCCCCCAAUGUGAUUGUUCCGCCAACUUGGAUGUGCAAAUUUAUUAUAUGCAUACACGGCAGUAGAGAGAGUUAAGGUAGAGAGAGAGAAACAUAAGAAAAUGGGUUUUCAGGUCUGUUAUUUUACAUUCCUUCAUAACUUCCAAAUCUAUAAAGGUGAGAUACUUAUGUGCAAGUAGUUUGUUAUGUGGAUUGCCGAAAAGAUUCGAAAACGAAAAGUAUUUGAGUUUUUUGUCUUUUCAUUAAUUGAUUGGUUUUCAUUUACGUUCAAAGACAUGUCUAUUCAAUAGUUAGUUGAUUAUGUUUAUUUUUAAAUUUACAAUUUUUAUGUUUGAAUUUAAAUUUACGAAUAUUUUAGUUAUUUUUUAUAAAGAAUUUUAUUUUAUUAUUUUGUCUUUAAUACAAAGAAAAGUGAAUUUUUAGUAACACAUCAAGAUUUAUGAAAAUUUGGGAUAUUACACUUUGGUGUCAGAGCACAGAUCCACCUUUCGAUAGACAUCUUUUUUUUUUUUUUUUUUAAAUACUGUUCACGUGAAUAGUGUCGAACAGUGCUCACUCUAUUACAAAAAAUGGAUAUAUAUACACUAUAAGAAAAGUAGUUUUUUAUGGCAUUUAUUUAUGGCGCACAUUUUAGGCAUGCCGUAAAAAGUUUGUUUCUGUGGCGUGCCUUAAAUGUGUGCCGUAAUAAUUCAACUACUUAAAAGAAUUUAUGGCAUACAUUUAAAGGCAUUCCCUGUUUGGCGAACACUGUGCAUCGUAAAAAAGUAAAAGAAAAAAAAACCACUUUUUAUGUCAUUGCUUUAUACGACAUUUGGCUGUACGCAGUAAAGUAUUAUUUACAGCAUACGAUGUAAGCCAUAAAAAAUAAUUUUCGUUGUGUGUGUGUGUGUGUGUAUAUGUCUCUGUGUGUGUGUGUUUAGCUUUAGUGUUUAAGUGACGUUUAAAAAAAUUACUAAUUAAAAAAUUCAUAUUUUAAGAAAUUUCAUGUUCCACUAAUUGUUGAGUUUUCUUGAUUGCAUGUUCGCAAAAUUGAAAGUUUUUGUCAAAAAAAUCUAAAUUGUCUAAGAAGAGUUUGGGAUUUAAGCGGUUUACUUAUAACCCCCUCCUCAUUUAGAAGCCUUUUGGUUGUGCGUUAUUCAAAUCAAUAAGACGAAAAAUAAUAUUUCAAAAAGUUCCAAAUUUAAGAAAAAUCUCUUUUUAUGGAAACUUUUAUUUUGAAAAAAAUCCUAUAUUUUAGGAAAUUUUUAAUAAAAUAAAAAUAAAGUAUUUUCAUAAUGAAUAAUACUAUUCAUAGUCACUCACUACAAUAGUCUCUCUACAUGACAUCCUAUACAAUGGUUUGUGAUUUGAUGUAUUAAUAUAGUAAUUUUUUCUUACAUCAUAUAUGAAAUCACUAAUCACCACAUAUAUACAACGUAGGGUGCUUGCGAUAAUGAGUGACUACGAGUAAUAUUACUUCAAGUCUUAAACAUUUAACGAUAUGGAGAAUCAUUGGCAUAGGACGCUCACUAUUUGGUCAUUCUCCAAUUGAUCAAAGGCAUGAAAUGAAAUGUUAUUCAUUUACCAUGAUUAUGAGUCAUAUUAUGAAAGUAUUAUCAUGUUUAUCUAUCAUAUUUUAUUAAUUGAAUUUUUUUUUCACAUUUCGUAUAAUAUUGCUUAUGCGAGCAUCGAAUGAAAUAAUAUUGUCACUGAAAGAUUAAGCAUAAUUGAUGUUAUGCUUGUCACAUGAUUAGGAUUUGGCAAACUAGGAUGAGUAGGAAUAGCCCAACGUAUCUUCAUCUUGCUCAAAUGGCUAUUGAGAACUACAUAAACUAUGAAGUUAGAUGGGAGUGAACCUUUGUUGAGCAUAUUGAAGAUUUCUUUUUUAAGUGGGAGUAAGCAAGAUCUUCGGAUAUAGUGAUGAGACAAUCCUCUCGAUAUAUCAUCUUAUAAGCACUAUGCAGCUUCAAUGGAGAGACAUGGUUUACUUCGUGAGGGAUAUGGAUUGUAGGCUAUAUUUGCGAGAAGAUUGGGAUAUGGAUGAUUUUAAGAAUUACUGUGAGGAUGUCAUAAUCAAUCAUAGACAACAAAAGCCAAUGCCAGAGCCCCUACCCCAGCUUGAGGUAGAGGUUGAGGCUGAGGAAAAGCCUAAUGAGGACCCCAAAGGAGUAAUCAAAAAAGGAAAUCGAAGCUGCAGGAGGACUCUGAGCAAGAAUUCGAGCUACAAAACUUCAUUGAUUUGGUUACGAAUUUGAGCCUGAAUCAUGCGUUCUUCAAAUGAUAAGACUCCACCAAAGAAGAUUCCUAGGAUCAUAGAGAUUAGAAAUAGAUGUUAUUUACUUAUUUAGAAAAAGUUUAUUAUUUAUUUAUCAAUUCUUUUUGGACACAAAGUACUAUAUGUAAAGAUUUGAAAAUUUUAAAGUUUUUCACCACUAUUAUUAUUAUUAUUAUUAUUAUUAUUAUUAUUAUUAUUAUUAUUAUUAUUAUUAUUAUUAUUAUUAUUAUUUUCUGUGUUAUCCAAUAUUUCUAAGUUAAAAAUUUCUGUGUUAAGAAAAUAUCGAGACAAUAACAAAAUCAAGCUACAGUCAUUAGGGAUUUGUUGAGGGCUGUACAAGAUUUGGGUAGACAACAAACACUCCUCAUAAUGUAAAUGCUAACACCAACUCAAUUGUGGAAUAGUUGCGUUGCUACAAACCCACAACCUUUGAUGGGAAGGCAGACCCACUGGCAGCUGAAGAAUGGAUAGAGGAAUGGAGCGAAUCUUCGAACAUCUUUCUUGUACUGAUGCUUGGAAAGUAUUAUGUGCAACUUUCAUGUUAGUUGAUGCUCCAUGCCACUGGUGGGAGUUAGCAUCACGCACUAGAACAGAAGCACAAUAAUGUGCUCUGACUUGGACACAAUUCAAGGACGAAGUGAUGGAAAAAUACUUCAUAUAGCUAUGAGAGAUUGAAAAGUGAUAGAGUUUCUUCAACUUAAACAAGGAAAGAUAAAGCUUGAGGAAUUUGAGAGAAAGUUCGAACAACUCUUUAGGUACGCACCACACCUAGUGGACACAAAGGCAAAGAAAGCAAGGAGGUUCGAAUUUGGAUUGCAUCCAGAGAUUGGUGGAAUAAUGGCAUCCUACUAAUUUACCACCUACAGCCGAGUUUUGCAAAUUGCCUCAGUAAUCUUAAAUAGGUUAGAGAUUGAUCAAACUUUUAAGCAAGGUGCUGAGCCUUCAAGAAAGCGAAAAUGGUAUAAUUCCAUUGAAGAGAAAUGAGGGAGAUGGACAGAACAAGAAAAUUAACAUUGGGUCAAAUUUUAGACAAGCUGUAUAUUUAUUGAAUAAAUCUAAGAGUACAGAAAACAUUUGCCAAGAAAUGUAUAGGAAUUUGAAAAGGCCGAGCUAGCAUUUAAAAAAGGCAAAAGAAAUGGAAAUGAAAAUAGAAAAUAAGAAAAAGGUCAACAAUGUCAGACUUAAAAGCAAGAACCCAUGCCAUUUCCCUCAAAUAAUCCCCGCCACUCCACUGCUCAUUACUCUACAUCUCCGGCCACCUCCAAUCGGUUUAUUUUUCAAGAGUGAAAUGAAUCCGCGAUGGCGAAGAAAGGACUAGCUACUUGACUUUGCACUGGCUGAAAAUGAAAGGCCUCAAUAACCUGUAGGAUGACCCAGAAACUUGAUGAUUCAAGGAGACACAGUUGAAGCUCAUGGUAGCCGAAUGAAUAGCCAUUAAUUCAGAUCAAAAGAAAAUCUCAAUUAUGGAGAACUUGAGGGACCAAUUAAAUUACAGUUUGGUGUUAAAAUUGAUGGUCUGAAGAGGAAUGUAAGCAGGCAAAUCGAUUAUAUCGACAAAUAAGCAAUAAAUUAUAUAUAAAAAAUGAGAGAAUUCUUGAGAAAUUUUCAGCUGGUUUUUGUGUAGUUGGGUGGGUUGGUGUACUGUAUAGUGCAGCAGAGAGCCAAGACAAGUAUAAAAAGAUAGUGUGUGAAAAUUGGAUAGUGGGUGGAAAUGUACAAGGGGCCUUUCUCAAUCCUAUGAUGACUUGUGGAAAUGUAAUUAGAUAGUGUGUGAAAAUUGGUUAGAAAAUAUUCUUUGUUAAUUAUAUAUAUUUUUUCUUUUGACAGAAGAAGAGAUACAAGAUUAUUCUGGACAAGAAACCAAAUGUAAUAAAUUUCUCAAGCCCAACUUUUGCCUCCAAUUUCUCAAACCUACAGUGUUAAUUUAGUGGGCUUUCGUGAUUACACUGUGGCCGGAUGUGGAUAUCAAUUGCGUAGUCGGAAGUUGGCCGAAGAUGGAGAAAGUGAGUGGCGGACUUCUCUGCUAGGUUUUGGGGGGAAAAUGAUGAAUGGAAUUAGAAAGAAUUGUUUUGGUUAGAUCUUUCCCAUUUUCUGUUUACUCUUUUUUUUCCCCGUAGCCACGUCAUUUAUUUUGAAUUCCUGUAUAGUUUCUAUGACCUCUUUCCUGUACUUAUAGCACUACCCAUAUUUAUUUGGGAGUAAUGUGUACUGUCGAUGCGGUAAGACUGGUCAUUUUGCUAAAAACUACAAAGAAGGCCCCUCGAAGAAAGAAAAUGAGCAAGAAAGAAAGGAAAAGCUAGAGUUUUAGUUUUAACUCAACAUAGGACAACAAAAGAACCAAAUUCAGGUAAUUUGAAAUUUUUUUUAGGAGAGGAGAUUGUAAAGUCCAGAAAAUUUUAAAAUAAAAUUUAAUUAUUCUAUAUGCUAUAUUUUUUUAUUAUGAAAAGUUAAAUGACUAAAGUGAAAUAUGUUGUAAAUCCUUAUAUUUUUAGGGUCAAAUUAUUAGAUUUUGAUAAAAAAAAAAAAACAAAACCAAAAAAAAAAAAAAAAAAAAAAAAAAAAAAACCGAAACAAAAGAUUUAACAUAUCGAUAUUGUACUCUUUUCGAAUCUUGUAAUUAAUUAGAACUCUUUGACUCGAGAAAACGUUUCUCCGGAAAAGCUAUGCCAAAUAUAUUGAAGUCCAAAGAAGCUAUAUAUAAUUGGUAAUUCUAAUCCUAUUCUUGAUUGGGAUAAAUGUUGACUUCAUCAUUUUGCAAGUCAUUUACACGUGAUUGGUAGAAAUAAUUAUUUGAAUGCAAUUUUUAUUCUAUAAAUUACAACCCAUUCUUACCUAAAGUCUACUUUGAUACCAAUUUUAAUUUAAUUUCCAGCCAUUCAGGGUUCCUUUCUUUACACACCACUCUAAAUAGGCUACGUCAUGAUUACCUAUAUAUAUGGGACAUUAUGAUAGAACUUUUGCACACAAAUUUAUUAUAUGCAUAUACGGUAGUAGAGAGAGUUAAGGCAGAGAGAGAAAGGAGCAUGAGGAAGAGCGUUGUUUCAUUUCUGUUACUGCUCGUAAUGUCGAAAGAAGAUGUUCAUAUAGUGGGAAGCAAAGCAGAUCGUUCAAACUCUCCCCUGAGGUAAAUUCCUAUUCAAACUCUACACUGUAAAAUAUGGUUAAUUAUUAGAAAAUCUCAUAUCUUGUGGUAUAAAUAGCUUCUGAUAUUGAGGAUCAUGGCAUACAUUUCUUUUUUGUCGAAGAAUAUCCUAAGAAGACGCAUCAAAUGGAACUAAAAUCAAAUUUGGCGUGAUGUAAAGUCUAGUGGUGCACAUAACAAACACACAAAUACUCGACGAUGAGAUAUGCCAGGUUUUCUUUGUUUUAAGACUUCUACCGAUGACUGAGUAACACGACUUGGGAGCCUAUUUAUCAAGCUUGUGACCAAGAUUUAUUCGGAAUAUUCAUUUGAAGCAUGAGAUCUCGUAGUCUCCGAAAUCUGUCUAUUCUUUCUUUCAACCAUUCCAUUUUUUUGGGGUGUACGAACACAACUAGUUUGAUGAAUAAUUCCUUCAUCGCUAAGAAAGGCGGGGAGUGGACCCUUUGUAAAUUCAGUGCCAUUAUCUAAAUGGAAAAUCUUGAUUUUAUAAUCAAAUUGAGUAGCCACCAUGCUAUGAAAAUCCUUAAAAAUAGGGUAAAUUUCGUUCUUAAAUUUCAAUAAAUAAAUCCAAGUAGCACGAGAAUAAUUAUCAAUAAACAUCACAAAAUAUUUAAAAUCAUCAUAUGAAUCAAUUCGACAGGGCCCCCACAAAUCAAAAUGAAUUAACUCAAAAGGUUUAACAUAUGUAGAUGACGAAUUAUUAAAUGGUAUAUGGAUUUGUUCGGAAAAUUGACAAAUAUCACAACCAUGUGUCCUAAAAGACAUAAAUGGAAACAUAAAACACUACUAAAAGGAAGUCCAAAUCCUUGAUGCAUAAUAUGAUUUUCUACCAUAGUACUAUAAAGAGAAGUGGCACUGAAUGGUUUCAACAAAUAAAGUCCAUGUAAGUAAACACCUUCACCAAUCUUCUUCCCUGAAGUUUGAUCCUGAAACACAACGCCAUUAGAAGAAAAAUUAACGUUGCGAUUUAAAGAGGUAGUAAUUUUUCCAAUAGAAAGAAGUUGAGUUGGAAUGAAGAAAUCACUUGUUUAUCCGAACUAGGAAGACUAGGAAAAAAGAUUAAUUUUUUCUAGAUCUACAAAUGGGAAUUGAUGUACCGUCAGCGACUGGAAUAGCAUGUUUGGAUGAAUUUUUUGAUUAAUCAUUCAAAGAUGCUGCAUCAUUUGCCAGAUGAUCAGUAGCACCCAAAUCAAUAAUCCAAAUAUUCAAAUAUUUAGAUGUACACAAAGAGAAAUAAGCUUCAAGGUUACUAGAGGCAUGAGUAUUGGAAGGAGUUGAUUCUUUUAGAGUAAGGGGACUAGGAUUACUGAGUUGUAGGAGAAUUUAGGCCAAUUGAUUGAUUGAAAUGGUAAUAUCAGCAACAACAGCACGUUCUAUGUUUUCUCUUUUCAUAGUGAUGGCUUAAAAUGAGGAUGAAGUUCCCAACAAUGGUCCUUAGAGUGUCCUAGCUUGUGAUAGUUGUCACAUUUUGGAGCUUCUCAUCUUUUCUGUUUUGAAAUGUUUUCCUUUUUCAUCUCUUUUUACAGUAAGAGUAGACGACUCAGGUAUAUUCUUUAUUUUUGAAUUCAUCGACUUUUUCAAGUUUCUUCUUGCACGCACACUCGAAAAGGUUGGAAGCAUAGAACUCAUAAGGAUAUGACUCCAAAGAUUCUCAUACUUUGGCCUCAAACUUCUCAACAAAGAAAAGAUCUUACCUUCUUCGGCCCUUUUUAGUAAGAUUUUUGCAUUAGUUGUAUGUGGAUGGUACAUGCUCAAUUCAUCCCACAUCUUCCUAAGAUUAUUGAGGUGUUCGAUGAAUGGCUUAUCUCAUUACUCAGCGACAGUAGUUUUCCGUUGCAAUUUAAAGAUUCUAGUAGCAUUAUUUUUUUUUCCAUAAUUUCCUCAACAAAAUUCCACAAGUCUUCCAUCAAUUCUGAAAAUGUGAAGAUUUCAUCAAUAAGUCCUGCUAUUGAAUUUAGAAGCCAAGAUCGAACAAGUUUAUCAUUCAAUAUCCACCCUCAUAUGUUGGAUAUCUAGAGGCGGAAGUGCCACUAAUGAAGCCCUUUCAUCCGGGAUUAACAUCAUUCUCCAUUGUUAUUGGCAGAUAAAUUGUUUUCUUAAUCAAUGUAAACUGAAAAACAAAUUGCAAAUGCCAAAAUGGAGUAGCAGAAAAUUGAAAAACGUGAACAACAGACUUUGAGGAUGAUUUUGAGCCAACAAAUGUGGCCAAAAAUGGGCCGAAACACAAUUAGCCAGAACCGUAUCAUAUGAAUCCAACGUCACCGAGCUUGCACAAUUAAGAUUUAUGGUUUGAAAGAUACAACCAUUUUAAUGGAGGUAACGGAAAACUGACAAAAAAAAAAAAUUAAAAAAAAUCUAUUUUCGUGGAGAUUGGGAAGAGUUUCUAAAUUUCUAAACGAAUUACGUUUGAAUAGCAAUGGACCAAAUCAAUACAUCCGUUCUGAUACCAUGAAGAAUUCAAUAAAACUAAAAAGAAUACAAAAAUUUAUGUGGUUCGACGCUUGUGUAGCAACCUACAUCCUUGGGAGAAGAUAGGAACUUGUAACUUUGUCUGGAGCUUACAAUAAAACAUAUAUAAUCACAUUACAUCAAUGUUGCCUUAUUUAGGAUGAGGCAAUCAAGGAAAGAAAAUAACGAAUUACUUCCAAAUCGUGAUUGCGCCAUAAUAUUAUCCAAUAUUAGCAAAUCCUUCAAAUAUCAUAGAAUAUCCCUCUUCUCCAACAAAAAGUAAAUUAAAAAUAGGGAAAAUUGCAGCCGAAGUACCAAACCUUUCGUUUAUUAGCAGACUUUGCCCAAACCUUUGAUUUGUGCCACCGUGAGUACCAAACCUUUAAAAAAUAUGCAGCUCAAGUCCAAAAUGACGGUUUCCGUCUGUUUGACCUCAAAAUCCGUCAGUUGACCCCAAAAUCUUUCAGUUGACCCCAGAAAUUAAAAUUUAAUAAUUUGGCCACAUAUGACAAGGUUAAAAUGGUCAUUUUACCAUUUUAAUAUAAAACAAUAAAAAAAGGAAAAAAGAAAAAUUGGUCAUCUUCUCCAACAACCCCGACCCCCAUCCCUCAACCCCACCAAAACACAGCACCACCAACCAUCACUUGUUACAAUCACCCACCAUCGCGUGCUACAAACACCCACCGUCGCGUGCUACAACUACCCACCACUUAAGGAAAUCAUGUUUUUCAAACCCUAAUUUUCAUCCCUUGAAAGCUUUCGUAAUUCAUUUUCACCAAAUCAAAACUCACAAAAAACCCUGGAAUUGGAAAUCAGAAAUUGCUCCUUUUCCAAUUUCUAAAUCUCCUAAAUAUUUUCCAUUCAUAUUCCAUAGGGAACUUGAGAUUUGAUAAUGGGAGGUUUUUACUCCAAUUUUUUUACGGGUGGGAGUGGGGGCAAUGAUUUAUGGGUAUGGCCGGACGGUGGUGGCACUACCGGCGAUGGGUGGCGGGUGGCAUAUGGUGAGACUGGUUUUCCCCAUUAUUGGGCAGCUUGGGAUGAGAAGAAAGAAGAAAUACAUACAGAGGUUGUAUGUACAUGUGUGUGUGUGUGUGUAUAGUUUAAUUAAUUAAUUAAUAUUAAAAUGGUAAAAUGACCAUUUUAGCCUUGUCCUAUGCGGUCAAAUUAUUAAAUUUUUAAUUUCUGGGAUCAACUGACGGAUUUUGAGGUGAAACAGACGGAAACUGUCAUUUUGGACUUGAGCUACAUAUUUUUUAAAGGUUUGGUACUCACGGUGGCACAAAUCAAAGAUUUAGGCAAAGUCUGUUAAUAAAUGAAAGGUUUGGUACUUCGACUGCAAUUUUCCCUUAAAAAAAACAUAAAUUUUCUUCUUUACAUGUUUUACUUAUUUUAUUUAUAUAUAUUUAUUUAUUCAGUUAUACUUUUUUAUAGCGGGCAGUGAUGGAGCUAGGCACUCGACGAGCCUCGACGGCCGCCCAGGCUGCGAGACAGCCUUUUUUCAAGACGAAAGACAACCUUUUUCUUAGAUGAAAAUGAAUGGGAUGAGAACUGGAAUCACACGUUACUUAAAAGUGCUAUCAACCACUUGCGGUUUCUACCUUUCAUAAAAUAUAAUCUCAAUCUGCCUAAAAGUAUGGCUCCUGACUGUCCUGAGAGAAGAAAUAGCCCAUAAAAUGGCCAUUUUAAGCCACUGAUUGUACGGUCGAGGCCGACCAGAGGAAGAUUGAUGGUGGCCUUCUGCAUUUUCAGGUAGAUAGUUUGCUUCUUCUUCUUCAAAUUUCUGAUGAUCUGCUGAGAUUAAACAUCAGUUGACUAUUAACGAAGAAAAUAAUAACAUUAAGCACCAAACCAAUAAUCUUUGUUCUUAAUAAAUUUGGUGAAAAAAUAGAUUAAAAAAAAAAAAAAACAUCGCCGACCAUUUGAAAAAUCUGGAGGAAUUAAAAAGCUGGUUUUUUUUGGUAGAAUUCUCUAGAUACAACUCCACCGCCUAUUUUGUCUGUGUGUGUGUGUAUGCAAAGAAGGUGGGAGAGGAAGAAGAUGUGUGGUGGAAUAGAAGAAGAAGAAGACAUUUUUGUAAAUUCUUUUCUUAUUCUUUUUAUGUUAGUAGCCUUUUUGAAUCUCAUUACAUUAAUUUCAUUUUUUUUCUUGUCUAUUUUUAAUCACGCAUUUAUAAAAUAAUAUUAUAUGUAAAUCGAAAUAUUUUUUUUAACCACUCAUUUAAAAAAUAAAUAAAUAAAUAAAAUCUAUCCACCCAUUUUCAGUUCCAAAAGAAAAUGGGGGCCAAUCGAGGGCUAGAACCUAUUUAAUAGUCCAUUAAGUAGAAAUAUUAUAUUGUUAGUCAAUUAAGUUGUGUGUGUCAAAAUUGUAUGAAGUCUAAUUUUGUUCUAGUAAAUAUAAUUUUCUUUGGUCUUUAAUUCAAUAUUUAGUAGAUGGAAGACAUUAAUCUACUAAAAUCUCAAUAUUUUUGGCUUUGGAACCUUCAAUCAGCGUUGUAGUUAAGGUGUAAAUAAUGGAAAACGAAGUAGAAAUAUCUCUUCAAUGCCAUAAGCUUUAACAUUGUACUUAGUAUAAUUGAAUAUAUUUGUAUCAAUCUGAGCAAAUAGAAAAAGAUAAAAGCAGAAAAUAAGAAAUAAUUAAAAAGCAAAAAUAAAUUGAGUGGAUAAAAUUCAGCAAGAAAAUUUCCAAUAGCUGACAGUAAUUUAAGUUAACUUCAUAAUCUCACCAUUAAUGUCUUCUUGAGUUUCUCCCAUGGCUAGUAGCAUGCAGAAUACAAAGAAGACAGGUCGUUGGCCUGGUUUAUAAAGACACAGGAACCCAAUAGUAAAUAGGAAUCGAAAUGUGUCGCCAUUUAAUAUUAUUUAAUUAAAUAUUAAUAAAUGAUCUUGCAGUUGUGGUCGUCGACGGUCGAAGAUCGUCCUAGCUCACUCGAAUUUCUGGAUUCGUCAAAGAUAGCGAGAACUACUUGUUUAACUACUUGAAAGUACGUGUCUAUGUGAAUUGAUAUUUGUCGUCCUUGUUUAGUUAUUCCCAACUAAAUGUUGAGACAUGACACAAAAGCUCUUGAUGUCUAAUUCUCAUUGACAAAGAAAAAUUGAUGCGUCUGAAAUAUCAAGUAUUUAAUGGAGGAAAAGUUCAGCAUAACUCAAAUUUAAAACAACUUAUAAGUAGAAUUAAACGUUGUAAUAGAAUGAAAAUCAAAUGCAAGGAAUCUCAGUUCAUAAAUAUGGGAUUAGGUUAGAAUUAAAACAUGAUUAAGCUCUCAAAUAUAUGUCAACUCUUCCAAAGCCUUAUAGAGACAAGCCUCUAGAUCCAGGAGCCGACCCAGACACUUCGAAUUGUGGGGUCAAAAAUGAAGAUUUUCAUCGUAGUCCGUAGUCUAGUAGCAAUAGGGGCUAACCUAUAUAGCAGGGGUUGAGCCGCUUAGGGACAGCUCGGUGGAGGGCCAAGGCGAAGAGAAAACUGGAAAGUGGAAAAAACGAGUUAAAAAGAAAGACGAAUCAUAACUCACGUUUGGUAAUUGGCAAUUUGGGAAAAAUGGUAUUUAAUUUGGGAAUAUAGGAACUCAUUAUAUAAGCUGGAUUGGAUUUGGGUAAAUGAGUAAAUGGAUUAUGGGAAUGAGAUUAUGGAUAUGGAUAUAGUAAUUGGAUUUGGACUUUUCACAAGUGUGGGCUAUUAUUGGGAAAUUGGAUUUGGCAAAUGGAGAGGGUAGCUGUUAGGCUAAAAAUAAAAUAAAAAAUAAUAAUAAUUCCAAAAAUUUGUGAGGUCAUUUGACCCCACAUGACCCCAUGUGGGUCCGCCCUUGUCUCGAUCGAUCUUCAUUCUUCAACAUAUUAUUCCUCUUGAUUUCAGCUCCAUCCAUGAUUCAAAUAUAUGGUCUGAUCGCGUCAAUAUUUUCGACUAAAAAAAUUAUAUAUGUAUCUGAUGCAUGCAAUGAAGAAUGAAGAAUCGUGUAUAACAACAAUUCAUUUACGUGCUCCAAAUGUUGUGGAGCUUGUUGGCAAUGCACGGGAAACGUUGGGCCGACAUCACGUGAUUAACCACGGUCGUUUCACGUGCUCAACAGUUGUAUUCGCAUCCACGGGUUAUGGAGUUGCUAGGAUUCCACCAUUUACUCCAAUUAACGUGGCAUGAGGGCUUCAACAUUAUAGACUCUGCAGUUGAGCAUGCUAAAUCACUUUUGUUCCCAGGACAAUGAAGAGUUUACGUAAGUUCAUGCACUAUUAUGUACUUAAAAAUGUCACUAGAUAGGGGUUUGCUUGUGUAUGUAAUUUUUUGUACAUCAACGUGUCCCACACUCACAUGGGGUGGGGCCCAAUCGAAUGUGUGGAACACCUUAAUGUAUAAAAAAUUAUGUACAACUAGUGUUAUCCCACUAAAUGUUAGGUCUACAAUACUUUUUGAAUUCCCUCAAAAAGAUUCAUGAGAGGGUACGUAUCGCAUGUAUACAAUUUUCUUAAAUAGGUAGAGAUUUAUCCUGGUUAAUGUAUCAUGGUUUGAUUUUAUUAGGAAUACACAUGGAGAAUUUAAUUUUAUUGAGUUCGUGAUAGAGAUAGCAGCAUAGUCAUUCGUGCAACAAGAAAUUCGGCUUUAGUUAAUGCAAUAAAUGUUGAUUGUUGUACAUGUGGCAAUCAAAAUGAAAAUGGAGAAAAGAGCAUCUCCAAUGAGACAAUGGAUCAGAGAAAUUGUAAGCCUCGUGCACAAUGUGCUAAAGAUUCUCUUGUUUUUUUUUUCUUGUCAUAUAAAUAUUUUGCGGUAAUGUGACGUACUCUUUAGUGUAAUCCACAGUUCCAUUGAAAAUGCUCUUAGAGUUACAGUAUAUUAUUCACUCAUUUACGAGCUUUUAAGUAGCAUUUGAAUUGCUUUUGACAAAUAUUAAUACCAUUUGAUCCGAGUUGUAAGUAAUAUCAAACUUUGAGUGAAUCAAAGGCUCGUGUAAGAAAUUUUGAAAUCCAAUAUUUGCUACAUCUACAUAAUGAAUAAUCUAUUCCAGUGCUUCUUGUCUGUCAGAGACAAUGUUGCAUACAUCGAGACGAUAGUUUGAUGAAAUUAGAUAAGAUCUAGUUGUAUUAUAGAAAGUUAUAUCAAUUAUUCUAUUAAUUAGUUAAGGAUUUCAGAUGGUGGGAGGAAGGGUCAUGCGAUAUUUUCAUUUGAAUUGAAAGAUUUUCAUGUGAAAGUAUGUUCAGGUAUUGUAUUGUUGGUCUGAUCGAGUUACUUUUCUCUACCUAAUUAUUUAUAUUUGAGGUAAUGUGGUUUUUUCCAUUUGAAUUGAAAGAUUUUAAGGUGUUGUAUCACUGAUCAUGUCAUUUUUCUCAUUAGUUAAAGAUUUGAGAUUUGGGCCACCUUCAGGACGAUAAAGGUUGCAUCUUCAAGUCCUCGUGCCGAAAGUACUCGAAGCCUUCGUAAACUCAUUGUCGGGUUCUAUCGUAGUGGAGGUUGCUGUGAGGAGAUCCUUGUGCCAGUGAAGAUUGCUUCCAAUGAUCGGGAAAGCGUUCGAUGAAAUUAAGAAAUACCGGACCAACAGGGCAGUUUUGAUGCCACCAAGGGAUGGAGAGCCCUUGGAGUAUAACCUCUAGCUCAAGGACUGGCCUUCAUCCCCCGCUACCCCUCUUCUUUUAAUGCCUACAGAGAGGUUUAGUUAGCCUUUUCCGCCCAUCCGAAACUAGAGCAAGAAACGCCCUAUUUCGUUUUGUUCCCGUUCUUCAUUUCUUGCUUCUCGAAUCCAAGGGGUACAACUCUUCUUUCCUCCGUUCACUCCUCUCCUAAAGCAGGCAAGGCAACAAGAAAGCUCUUAGCACUUCAGAGUUGGAUGAUUUUCAAGUAAAAAAUUAUUAUUGUGUCAUUGACUGUGUUACUUUUCUCUACCUAAUUAUUUAUAAAAUUAUGCUACUUGUACAUAAAAAUUGUACAUAAGGGAUUACAUAAAAUAAUGUGAAAGAAAAAUAUUGGAUGAAAAGGUUGAUUAUGUUUUAAACUGACAAAUGAUAAAGUGAUAUGUGACAUUAUGUAACUCAUUAUGUAAAGUUUAAUGUACAUGUAGCAAAACCCUUAUUUAUACUAGUUAAAGAUCUGAGAAGCGGGAGGACAAGGGGGUCAUGUGACUUUUCUAUUUGAAUUGGAAGAUUUUUGCUUAAAAAUCUGUAAUUGUAUUCUUGACA